rnacentral:snRNA from 1 species
AGCUUUGCGCAGUGGUAGCAUUGUAGCCAAUGAGGUUUAUCCGAGGAGUGAUUAUUGCUAAUUGAAAUGUAAGU